rnacentral:lncRNA from 1 species
CCGGCGCCGGGGCGCGCGGCAGCAGCCGUUGGGGUCCCGCGCGCGAGCGCCCGCCCCCAACAGCCGCCUCUGAGGGACCCCAACGGUCCCCGCCCACCUCAUCCGCAGGGGAGGGCCGGAGCUGUCACGCCCGCGGGCCUCCUCUGUGCGCUCUUCAUCAAACACCGGGGAGCUCCGAGCGGGAGGUGUCGCGGGAAAGCAGCGCCCUCCCUCUGGGCUGCCUCCGUCGCCAGCCCCAGCCCCGCAGGUAGGGCACCGGCACCCCGGUGGAGUGAAGCGCCCGCCGCCCGCGCCCCUGCGGGUUACCGGUGCCAAGUACUGCGGCGGGGUGGGUGCUGCUGCUCUGCACCCAGCGCCGCUCGCUGCUCAGCGCCAGCCCCCGAGGAAGCACCUUGCAGCCAAGAAAACGAAGUGUGGCGAGGGAUCACUUAUGAAUAUAUUGAAGAGACCAGAUCUCCCAUUGCUGAGCCUAUGUCAGUGAAUACUGAGACUUUCUUACCUGAUAGGCCUCAGGCUGAAUAACGCUUAGGUGGAUGCAAGGAUCCUAAGUGUGCUGUGAAAUCCUGAAGACAGAAUGUUGAAAACCAAACACAGAAAGAUGGAAGUAUUUGCAGGAGGCAACUUUGUCAGCAUGACUUAUAAUGAGCUCCUGGGUGUAAAGAAAUACAUUCUUGGGUCAUGGCUUGUCAGUCAUCUGGUCACAGUGACCAGUGGCAUGAGUACAAAAGGAAAAUUGGAUUCAUCAGCAUGAAUUCAACCUCCAGUCUCCUAAAAUAAAUUAUUGUGUAGAAAGGCUGCUAAACUCCUC